GAAACUAUCACUAAACCCCAACCUCCUUCCCCGCCUUCAUCAAAUUUUCCCCUAAACCCUUCACCGCACCACAAUCUUCUCCUGCUUGGCUUCGUGAAAGGGGAGCCAAAAUACCUGCACCAGUGUUAGAGCUGUUUGCACUCGCUGCUCCUCCUCCUCCAUAUCUGUCUAUGGUGUUGCUUGGAAUGUUUGAUUGUGAAUCAAGUGCCUAUUUCUGAUACGAGUUACUUUCUUGUUCUCCUAUCUUGCACACUCUGCCUCCACAAAUUUCUACAAAGCUUCUGGCAACACCUGCUUCCCAGCUCUCUAUUGCUUGCCCCCAAAAAAGCCUGAACAAAUAUAUGUUUCUCAGAUAAACGCUUCUUGGAAUCAAAGAAGGUC
rnacentral:sRNA from 1 species